rnacentral:lncRNA from 1 species
GAUAUUGCCACAAAUAACCUUCAGGCAUGGAUUUACUUGUGGCAAUACAAAAGUCGCCAGUAGUGGAGUUUAGCAGCGACUUUUAGGGGUUUGGUGGCGACUUUACUCGCCACAAUAAGGACGAUUUCUUGUAGUGUUUGCGCUUUGUUGGUGGAUAUCAUGGACAUUGAGGGUGAAUGAUAAGUUUCCCAAAAUGCGG